AGGUGAACCUGCGGAAGGAUCAUUACCGAGUGUAGGGUUCCUAGCGAGCCCAACCUCCCACCCGUGUUUACUGUACCUUAGUUGCUUCGGCGGGCCCGCCAUUCAUGGCCGCCGGGGGCUCUCAGCCCCGGGCCCGCGCCCGCCGGAGACACCACGAACUCUGUCUGAUCUAGUGAAGUCUGAGUUGAUUGUAUCGCAAUCAGUUAAAACUUUCAACAAUGGAUCUCUUGGUUCCGGCAUCGAUGAAGAACGCAGCGAAAUGCGAUAACUAGUGUGAAUUGCAGAAUUCCGUGAAUCAUCGAGUCUUUGAACGCACAUUGCGCCCCCUGGUAUUCCGGGGGGCAUGCCUGUCCGAGCGUCAUUGCUGCCCAUCAAGCACGGCUUGUGUGUUGGGUCGUCGUCCCCUCUCCGGGGGGGACGGGCCCCAAAGGCAGCGGCGGCACCGCGUCCGAUCCUCGAGCGUAUGGGGCUUUGUCACCCGCUCUGUAGGCCCGGCCGGCGCUUGCCGAACGCAAAUCAAUCUUUUACCCGGUUGACCUCGGAUCAGGUAGGGAUACCCGCUGAACUUAAGCAUAUCAAU
rnacentral:rRNA from 1 species